rnacentral:rRNA from 1 species
CGCCGCGUGAGUGAUGAAGGUUUUCGGAUCGUAAAGCUCUGUUGUUAGGGAAGAACAAGUGCAAGAGUAACUGCUUGCACCUUGACGGUACCUAACCAGAAAGCCACGGCUAACUACGUGCCAGCAGCCGCGGUAAUACGUAGGUGGCAAGCGUUGUCCGGAAUUAUUGGGCGUAAAGGGCUCGCAGGCGGUUUCUUAAGUCUGAUGUGAAAGCCCCCGGCUCAACCGGGGAGGGUCAUUGGAAACUGGGAAACUUGAGUGCAGAAGAGGAGAGUGGAAUUCCACGUGUAGCGGUGAAAUGCGUAGAGAUGUGGAGGAACACCAGUGGCGAAGGCGACUCUCUGGUCUGUAACUGACGCUGAGGAGCGAAAGCGUGGGGAGCGAACAGGAUUAGAUACCCUGGUAGUCCACGCCGUAAACGAUGAGUGCUAAGUGUUAGGGGGUUUCCGCCCCUUAGUGCUGCAGCUAACGCAUUAAGCACUCCGCCUGGGGAGUACGGUCGCAAGACUGAAACUCAAAGGAAUUGACGGGGGCCCGCACAAGCGGUGGAGCAUGUGGUUUAAUUCGAAGCAACGCGAAGAACCUUACCAGGUCUUGACAUCCUCUGACAACCCUAGAGAUAGGGCUUUCCCUUCGGGGACAGAGUGACAGGUGGUGCAUGGUUGUCGUCAGCUCGUGUCGUGAGAUGUUGGGUUAAGUCCCGCAACGAGCGCAACCCUUGAUCUUAGUUGCCAGCAUUUAGUUGGGCACUCUAAGGUGACUGCCGGUGACAAACCGGAGGAAGGUGGGGAUGACGUCAAAUCAUCAUGCCCCUUAUGACCUGGGCUACACACGUGCUACAAUGGACAGAACAAAGGGCUGCGAGACCGCAAGGUUUAGCCAAUCCCACAAAUCUGUUCUCAGUUCGGAUCG